rnacentral:rRNA from 1 species
AAAACUUUCAACAACGGAUCUCUUGGCUCUGGCAUCGAUGAAGAACGCAGCGAAAUGCGAUAAGUAAUGUGAAUUGCAGAAUUUAGUGAAUCAUCGAAUCUUUGAACGCACAUUGCGCCCCUUGGUAUUCCGAGAGGCAUGCCUGUUCGAGCGUC